rnacentral:rRNA from 1 species
GAGAAGCGACCUCGCGAGAGCAAGCGGACCUCAUAAAGUGCGUCGUAGUCCGGAUUGGAGUCUGCAACUCGACUCCAUGAAGUCGGAAUCGCUAGUAAUCGUGGAUCAGAAUGCCACGGUGAAUACGUUCCCGGGCCUUGUACACACCGCCCGUCACACCAUGGGAGUGGGUUGCAAAAGAAGUAGGUAGCUUAACCUUAGGGAGGGCGCUUACCACUUUGUGAUUCAUGACUGGGGUGAAGUCGUAACAAGGUAACCGUAGGGGAACCUGCGGUUGGAUCACCUCCUUA